rnacentral:pre_miRNA from 1 species
GGGGGGAGUGCCGGAUCCUGGGCUAUGUCCCUGGGGUGCCCUGGGCUCCAGGGCCUGCACUGCUGGAAUCGCGCUCCCGGGGCCGUGCAGCCCCGU